rnacentral:rRNA from 1 species
GUAGUCCACGCCGUAAACGAUGGGUACUAGGUGCCUGGGGGAGCGACCCCUUGGGUGCCGGCGCUAACGCAGGAAGUACCCCGCCUGGGGAGUACGGCCGCAAGGCUGAAACUCAAAGGAAUUGACGGGGGCCCGCACAAGCGGUGGAGCAUGUGGUUUAAUUCGACGCAACGCGAAGAACCUUACCUAGGCUUGACAUGCAUGGGAAACUCCUCAGAAACGAGGAGCCUCCUUCGGGAUCCAUGCACAGGUGCUGCAUGGCUGUCGUCAGCUCGUGUCGUGAGAUGUUGGGUUAAG